GCCUGACGGAGCAGCGCCGCGUGAGGGAUGAAGGCCUCUGGGCUGUAAACCUCUUUUAUCAAGGAAGAAGAUCUGACGGUACUUGAUGAAUAAGCCACGGCUAAUUCCGUGCCAGCAGCCGCGGUAAUACGGGAGUGGCAAGCGUUAUCCGGAAUUAUUGGGCGUAAAGCGUCCGCAGGCGGCCCUUCAAGUCUGCUGUUAAAAAGUGGAGCUUAACUCCAUCAUGGCAGUGGAAACUGUUGGGCUUGAGUGUGGUAGGGGCAGAGGGAAUUCCCGGUGUAGCGGUGAAAUGCGUAGAUAUCGGGAAGAACACCAGUGGCGAAGGCGCUCUGCUGGGCCAUCACUGACGCUCAUGGACGAAAGCCAGGGGAGCGAAAGGGAUUAGAUACCCCUGUAGUCCUGGCCGUAA
rnacentral:rRNA from 1 species